AGAGGCGUGGGAGUCUGCAACCUUGUCUCGGUUGUCCUUUUAGUUGUUUGGGGAUGUGAUCUUAUUUUCCGAGAUCCUGCUUUGUCCUCGGGGUCCCUUUUAAUAUUCUGAACGUAAAACCUUCUCUUUCGCCAAACGAGAGCAUGCACUAAAAACACUGCGUUAAAUAAAGGAUCUUUUUUGAGUCAGUGUUGGGCCUUGCCUGUUUGUCUAGGCCGUGUCUUCUCUGAGGUCAAUGCAGAACCCAGAGUAAAGCAAAGUGAGCUGUCAAUUAUUAGCUUUUGAGCUUGCGUAAUUAUACACCGUGAGGUACGAAAAUAAAACUGAGUGCACCUAUCAAAAUGCCUGGCUAAUAACCAAUCUUUGAAUAAGACUCAAAGUGUGAACUCUCAUCCGUGUGCAUCUGUAUUGUUUUGAGUGAAUCGCAGUUAGUAACCACCUAUUGUUAAUGACUGGCGCCAUACUGAAUGCCUGGUGUAUGCCAGACGCUGUAUUAAAUAAGCCUUACUCGAUUUACAGCCAUUCUAGAGGUAAAUGGUGUUACUACAUUUUACAGUUACAACAGGGAAGGCUUAGCAAGGUCCGAUAGCUUGACCAACUUCUUGCAACAAGCGGCAGAGCCAGGAUUCAAACGUACACUGCUUCCUACUAUAAAAGUAGUAUUUUUAGAAUGUAAAAUUGAGUAUCUGCAUCACAAAAUACGAACAUUAUUACUCGAAAAAUACCAGCUCUUCUUUUUUCUCUCAAGUGACUUAAAUAUAGAAAAGACUGUUCCUUUCUUUUUCUUUCUUUUAGUAGUGGUUUGACAUUUCA
rnacentral:lncRNA from 10 species